ACAAACUGUUGUUAGCUCAGCUGGUGAUAAGCUGUGGAACCUAUCGGGAGGUCUGUAGUUCGACUCCCCUUAGGGCUUGUUUGGUUCCCCCGUCUAUCAGCCUAUUUGCAAGAAGAAAGGGAUGCUGUGAACUGUAGGUGUCUUGUAAUCUCCCAUUGCAGUUGAUACUUGCUACAUGCUUCUUACCUUCUUUGCACUUGUUCAUCUGCAUUAGUGGUCUUGCCCUUUUGAAACGCAAUGCUUUCAUGGUUGCCAUGCUUUCACUGUUACAAAUUGUGCAUAGAUGCACAUGCAAGUUGUUUGGUGA
rnacentral:lncRNA from 1 species